AGUGAACGCUGGCGGUAGGCCUGACACAUGCAAGUCGAACGGCAGCACAGGAGAGCUUGCUCUCUGGGUGGCGAGUGGCGGACGGGUGAGGAAUACAUCGGAAUCUACUUUUUCGUGGGGGAUAACGUAGGGAAACUUACGCUAAUACCGCAUACGACCUACGGGUGAAAGCAGGGGACCUUCGGGCCUUGCGCGAUUGAAUGAGCCGAUGUCGGAUUAGCUAGUUGGCGGGGUAAAGGCCCACCAAGGCGACGAUCCGUAGCUGGUCUGAGAGGAUGAUCAGCCACACUGGAACUGAGACACGGUCCAGACUCCUACGGGAGGCAGCAGUGGGGAAUAUUGGACAAUGGGCGCAAGCCUGACCCAGCCAUACCGCGUGGGUGAAGAAGGCCUUCGGGUUGUAAAGCCCUUUUGUUGGGAAAGAAAUCCAGCUGGCUAAUACCCGGUUGGGAUGACGGUACCCAAAGAAUAAGCACCGGCUAACUUCGUGCCAGCAGCCGCCGUAA
rnacentral:rRNA from 1 species